rnacentral:rRNA from 1 species
AUACGAAGGGUGCAAGCGUUACUCGGAAUUACUGGGCGUAAAGCGUGCGUAGGUGGUUGUUUAAGUCUGUCGUGAAAGCCCUGGGCUCAACCUGGGAAUGGCGAUGGAAACUGGGCGACUAGAGUGUGGCAGAGGGUAGUGGAAUUCCUGGUGUAGCAGUGAAAUGCGUAGAGAUCAGGAGGAACAUCCGUGGCGAAGGCGACUGCCUGGGCCAACACUGACACUGAGGCACGAAAGCGUGGGGAGCAAACAGGAUUAGAUACCCUGGUAGUCCACGCCCUAAACGAUGCGAACUGGAUGUUGGGUGCAAUUUGGCACGCAGUGUCGAAGCUAACGCGUUAAGUUCGCCGCCUGGGGAGUACGGUCGCAAGACUGAAACUCAAAUGAAUUGACGGGG